rnacentral:rRNA from 1 species
UACGUAGGGCGCGAGCGUUGUCCGGAAUUAUUGGGCGUAAAGAGCUCGUAGGCGGCCUGUCGCGUCGGUCGUGAAAACUUGGGGCUUAACCCUGAGCUUGCGGUCGAUACGGGCAUGACUGGAGUUCGGUAGGGGAGACUGGAAUUCCUGGUGUAGCGGUGAAAUGCGUAGAGAUCAUGAGGAAGACCAGUGGCGAAGGCGGGUCUCUGGACAGUUCCUGACACUGAGACACGAAGGCCAGGGGAGCAAACGGG